rnacentral:rRNA from 1 species
CGUGAGCGGCGGACGGGUGGGUAACGCGUGGGUAACCUGCCUCAUACAGGGGAGUAACAGUUGGAAACGGCUGCUAAUACCGCAUAAGCGCACAGUACCGCAUGGUACGGUGUGAAAAACUCCGGUGGUAUGAGAUGGACCCGCGUCUGAUUAGGUAGUUGGUGGGGUAACGGCCUACCAAGCCGACGAUCAGUAGCCGACCUGAGAGGGUGACCGGCCACAUUGGGACUGAGACACGGCCCAA